rfam:Robiginitalea biformata HTCC2501, complete genome.
AUUAAUAACCGGGGUCGGGUACCCCAAAACUUUAAU